rnacentral:rRNA from 1 species
UGGGGAAUAUUGCACAAUGGGCGCAAGCCUGAUGCAGCCAUGCCGCGUGUGUGAAGAAGGCCUUCGGGUUGUAAAGCACUUUCAGCGAGGAGGAAGGGUAGUGUGUUAAUAGCACAUUGCAUUGACGUUACUCGCAGAAGAAGCACCGGCUAACUCCGUGCCAGCAGCCGCGGUAAUACGGAGGGUGCAAGCGUUAAUCGGAAUUACUGGGCGUAAAGCGCACGCAGGCGGUUUGUUAAGUCAGAUGUGAAAUCCCCGCGCUUAACGUGGGAACUGCAUUUGAAACUGGCAAGCUAGAGUCUUGUAGAGGGGGGUAGAAUUCCAGGUGUAGCGGUGAAAUGCGUAGAGAUCUGGAGGAAUACCGGUGGCGAAGGCGGCCCCCCUGGACAAAGACUACGC